UACGUAGGGACCGAGCGUUGUCCGGAAUCAUUGGGCGUAAAGAGCUCGUAGGCGGUUUGUCGCGUCUGCUGUGAAAACUCGAGGCUCAACCUCGGGCUUGCAGUGGAUACUGGCGAGCUAGAGUGCGGUAGAGGAUGGUGGAAUUCCCGGUGUAGCGGUGAAAUGCGUAGAGAUCGGGAGGAACACCCGCGGCGAAGGCGGGUUGCUGGGCUGACACUGACGCUGAUGCGCGAAAGCCAGGGGAGCGAACGGG
rnacentral:rRNA from 1 species